rnacentral:lncRNA from 1 species
UUCUCCUGUAGGGUAAAAGAAAUGACAGCAGUAUCCAGACACCUAUCCCUGGUGUCUGCGCGGGGCUGGGGGGCCAGGCCGGACGGCACUGCUGAGAACGUGAUGGUCCGGUGCAGAGAACUGCAGCUGUUCUUGCACAACGAGCUCAAGGCUCGGAGCACCCUCCGGCCGCAGCUCUCCUUGCACGAGGGCUCAGGGCAUCCUGCAGCCGAGGGGCCCACCGAGAACCGUGGCGUUCUGGGACACGGAGGAUGAUGGGGGCUCAGGGGGGGCUGUGCUAAAAAUCCUCACGGACGCACCGCGGCACCCGCGGCUCUCACAGCAGUUCUCCUCCGCGCCCAUCCCAUGAAGCUGCUGUGCACGAAGCUGCUUGCUUUCUGGGGGUGCAGCGCCCCGGUGGGUUUGCUCACCAUCCCUGCACCAUCCCUGCACGAUCGUACCCACGGAUGUCGCUCCCCACCCGAGAUGCAGUUCCGCACCAGGACGCGGGGUGGGAGCCUCAGCACACGGAGUAGCGCUCACCGCUCCUCGCAGGGCUCUACCUCUUCCCGGGGCCGUAUCUCGCCUUAGGAGGACGUGGAGUAAAUCCUGGGUGCAACUUUUGAAGGAGAGGAGGCAGCAGCUCAUCAGGCACAGCCUGGAGCCGGAGCAGUGAACAGAUGAGCAUCUUUACCCAGCAAAAGGACAAACAUCGCCUGCCUGAGCAGACGGGAAGAUUGUACAGACCGACCCUAACUCAGACCCAUGCCACAGAAACUCAGUUAUUGUGCUUGCAGUCUGUGGCUAUGGAAUCCAUCAUGCAUACCCAGCAGCUCUUUGAUUGUGAGGACGUCUCACCCCAUAGCCAGUUUGCUCCCCAUCCUGCCUGCUCCCUGGAUGACACCCAGCUGAGUCCUGCACUGCUGCACCCCAGGAGAUCGCCAGGAGCCCUCCAGCACUGAGCUCAGCCAUGAGCCUUUCCUACAGCUGUUGCUCCACCUGAAUGUGCCACACUGUGGUCAAUAGGAUGUCCCCAAGUGAGCUCAAUAUUUUCAUGUCCCCAAGUGAACUCAGUAUUUUCAUGGCCAUCACACAGUGAAUAAUAAAUAUCCUUAGAUUUGGC